rnacentral:rRNA from 1 species
CGAAUGGAGCGAGCGUUGUUCGGAAUCACUGGGCGUAAAGGGUGCGCAGGCGGUCAUGAAAGUUAGAAGUGAAAUCCCUGGGCUCAACCCAGGAAUUGCUUUUAAAACUCCAUGACUAGAGUACUGGAGAGGUUGGCGGAAUUCCGAGUGUAGCAGUGAAAUGCGUAGAUAUUCGGAGGAACACCGAUGGCGUAGGCAGCCAACUGGACAGUUACUGACGCUCAUGCACGAAAGCGUGGGGAUCAAACAGGAUUAGAUACCCUGGUAGUCCACGCCCUAAACGAUGUGUGCUAGUUGUCGGGCCCUUUAGGGUUCGGUGACGCAGCUAACGCUUUAAGCACACCGCCUGGGGAGUACGGUCGCAAGAUUA